GUGCCAGCCGCCGCGGUAAUACGGGGGGGGCAAGCGUUGUUCGGAAUUACUGGGCGUAAAGGGCUCGUAGGCGGCCAACUAAGUCGGAUGUGAAAUCCCCAGGCUUAACCUGGGAACUGCAUCCGAUACUGGAUGGCUUGAAUCCGGGAGAGGGAUGCAGAAUUCCAGGUGUAGCGGUGAAAUGCGUAGAUAUCUGGAGGAAUACCGGUGGCGAAGGCGGCAUCCUGGACCGGCAUUGACGCUGAUGAGCGAAAGCUAGGGGAGCAAACGGGAUUAGAUACCCCCGUAGUCC
rnacentral:rRNA from 1 species